rnacentral:misc_RNA from 1 species
ACCAUUAGGGUAGCAGUCCAAUGGCACUUGGAUGGGUUGUUUUUAUUCUACUGUUAUUAGACUAGUUGUGUCCAAAUCUGCUAGUGUACACGUUGGCACUUGUUUGCCAGUGAUUGCACGGUACUCUUGAUACUAUUCGGGCCUCCUUUAAUAAAGUGCUAAUGUCUUUUCAAUGGUGGUCUCUGAACCUCUGGUAUUUGAAGGUGCUACUCUCUUAUAAGUGCAGGUUAUGUUGUAACUUCCUGAUGUCACAUUAGUUAAUCAUUUCUGAAGGAUUUUAUUUUAAUCAAACGGCUAGUGCUGUCCAAACAGUUAGUAGUCAUCAAAUUAGCAAGAAUGUUAUGAGUGCUCUUUAGUUUAUAUCAGGUUCAUCACAUUAGAUUCUGUUUUCCUUUAUGCCCAUUGUAAUCCAUCACCAGUCUUGGUUUUAUGCUUUAGUUAUGCUGAGAAAAUUUUAGGGUGUGACAGGCACAGAAUUUUUUUUUCUAUGUUAGAAUUUGGUUGCUAAAUAUGUAGAUACAACCAGCUGUCCUCUUUUCUCUUUAGUUGAGGAGGAUGUGGAAGCUGGAGUCUAUGGU